UAAUUUGAGAGUUUGAUCCUGGCUCAGGACGAACGCUGGCGGCGUGCCUAAUACAUGCAAGUCGAACGAACUCUGGUAUUGAUUGGUGCUUGCAUCAUGAUUUACAUUUGAGUGAGUGGCGAACUGGUGAGUAACACGUGGGAAACCUGCCCAGAAGCGGGGGAUAACACCUGGAAACAGAUGCUAAUACCGCAUAACAACUUGGACCGCAUGGUCCGAG
rnacentral:rRNA from 1 species